rnacentral:rRNA from 1 species
UACUUUCAGCAGUGAGGAAGGUGGGUAUGUUAAUAGCAUACUCAUUUGACGUUAGCUGCAGAAGAAGCACCGGCUAACUCCGUGCCAGCAGCCGCGGUAAUACGGAGGGUGCGAGCGUUAAUCGGAAUUACUGGGCGUAAAGCGCAUGCAGGUGGUUUGUUAAGUCAGAUGUGAAAGCCCGGGGCUCAACCUCGGAAUUGCAUUUGAAACUGGCAAACUAGAGUACUGUAGAGGGGGUAGAAUUUCAGGUGUAGCGGUGAAAUGCGUAGAGAUCUGAAGGAAUACCGGUGGCGAAGGCGGCCCCCUGGACAGAUACUGACACUCAGAUGCGAAAGCGUGGGGAGCAAACAGGAUUAAAUACCCUGGUAG